CCUACCAUUAGUGGUGUGACCUUGGACAAGUUACUUAAGUUCUCUGUGUCUCAGUUUCCCUAUCUGUAAAAUGGAGUUAAUGAGAGUAUCUACCGCAUUAUGCUAUUACAAAUAUUUUGAUCUCUGACACUGUGUGAAGUGGAUGGAGGGUUGGAGAAUGCUCAGAAUUGUCAACGUUCUUCGAGGAAUCAGGAGACGAGACUCAGGUCUUCUCUGUCAGUGAAACCAUGUGACUUUAGAGCUACUGCCCAGGUCCUCUGUCAUUUGGAAGAAGUCAGUCUACUGUAGAAGUAAAAGAAGCAUAGAAGAAAGUCUUAGGACUUGUGCUGGGAGCAGUAGUUUCCUAAUUCCAUUGUCCCUCUGUGCUGGAUGCCUUCUACUGGUUCCAAUGCAGGAACCCAUAGUUCCUUCUUUUGCCUAGGUGAACUUUCUUUGGUUUUCAGUCUCUUACAACCAAAAGAAACCCAAAUAAUACUUAUUACUCUUGUAUUGUUUCUGAGACAGCAAGAAGCUCUUCAUAAAAUGAUGAAGUAAAGAUUACUAACA